rnacentral:Y_RNA from 1 species
AGCUGGUUUGAAGAUAGUGAGUUAUCUCAGUUGAUUGUUCACAGUCCAUUACAGAUCAAUUUCCUUGUGCUACUCUUUCCCCCUUCUCACUACUGCACUUGACUAGUCUUAA